GCGCCCGUAGCUCAAUUGGAUAGAGUAUUGGAUUCCGGUUCCAAGGGUUGGGGGUUCGAAUCCCUUCGGGCGUG
rnacentral:tRNA from 1 species